rnacentral:lncRNA from 1 species
CCAUGUAGGAGCAGCCUGCAAUGUUCUGCCAUGCUGGGAGAAAGAAUUUUACAUGUAUACUGAUCUCCAGUUAUCAACCACUUCAAACUAUGGAGAAGAAAUGAUGAGAGGGAGCAGUGAUAAAUACAAGAUGUGCCCCAAGUGCCUUGACACUGCUGAACUGCCAAGCUGCAGGACCUCGCCAAUUACACGGCUGCUUUUCCAUGGCAGACCUGUGUGUUAAUUCACAGGUGUCCAAGACCUAACAUGCAUUAAGGCAACGUAGAGGCUGCUGUUGCUUCUGACCACUGGAGUGAAAGGGAAGAGGUAAUUAAUGUUUUUUCUCCACUCUCCUGCCUGCUGGCAGUCAAGCAGAACCUAGAAUUUAGGAUAAAAUAACCAAAGUAAAGAAUUCUCAAAAAAACUGGC